rnacentral:rRNA from 1 species
AAGCCCAGCACCGAACCUCGCGCCCCCGGGUGUCGCGGAAUGUGGUGUUUAGGAGGACCGUGCGCGUCUGUCCGGUAUCGUCCAAGUCUCCAUGAAUGGGGCCAGUAACCCAGAGAGGGUGUCAGGCCCGUAGGACUGAGCCGCGACGGCGUAUUGGGUCUCUCCUUAGAGUCGGGUUGCUUGAGAGUGCAGCCCUAAGUGGGAGGUAAACUCCUUCUAAGGCUAAAUACGGCCACGAGACCGAUAGCGAACAAGUACCGCGAGGGAAAGUUGAAAAGAACUUUGAAGAGAGAGUUCAAUAGUGCGUGAAACCGUUCAGGGGGUUAAACGGGUGGGCCCUCGAAGGUCGAACGCUCCCUACUCGCGUCUCCGCGCGUCGGUCCGUGCCGCUUUUUCCGAUCUCGCUACGGGACGGAGCGGUGCGGUAACUUGGCGAGCGGGGGCGUUUAGUUAGGGGGCCAGUAGGACUCCGCAACCGUCUGGAGAGUCGUCAGAAGGGCUCUGGUAGAAAGCCUCCUCGCGGGGUGGACUCCGGGGUUCCGGGCGAUCUCUCCGGCCGUGAACCGGCAUUCCACUCGGCUGGCGUCCGUGACGAGCCUCCCUUCACGGGGGGGUUGUCGGUUGCGGGCGUCACCGGGGGACGCUAGCGGAGAGUAGAGUCGGGUCCCACCCGACCCGUCUUGAAACACGGACCAAGGAGUCUAACAUGUGCGCGAGUCGUCGGGAU